AGCGAACGCUGGCGGCAGGCUUAACACAUGCAAGUCGAACGGGCACUUCGGUGUCAGUGGCAGACGGGUGAGUAACACGUGGGAACGUACCUCUUGGUUCGGAACAACACAGGGAAACUUGUGCUAAUACCGGAUAAGCCCUUACGGGGAAAGAUUUAUCGCCGAGAGAUCGGCCCGCGUCUGAUUAGCUAGUUGGUGAGGUAAUGGCUCACCAAGGCGACGAUCGGUAGCUGGUCUGAGAGGAUGAGCAGCCACAUUGGGAGUGAGACACGGCCCAAAAUCCUACGGGAGGCAGCAGUGGGGAAUAUUGGACAAUGGGGGCAACCCUGAUCCAGCCAUGCCGCGUGAGUGAUGAAGGCCCUAGGGUUGUAAAGCUCUUUUUUGCGGGAAGAUAAUGACGGUACCGCAAGAAUAAGCCCCGGCUAACUUCGUGCCAGCAGCCGCAGUAAAAC
rnacentral:rRNA from 1 species